UACGGGGGGGGCAAGCGUUGUUCGGAAUUACUGGGCGUAAAGGGCUCGUAGGUGGCCAACUAAGUCAGACGUGAAAUCCCUCGGCUUAACCGGGGAACUGCGUCUGAUACUGGAUGGCUUGAGUUUGGGAGAGGGACGCGGAAUUCCAGGUGUAGCGGUGAAAUGCGUAGAUAUCUGGAGGAACACCGGUGGCGAAGGCGGCGUCCUGGGCCUGCACUGACGCUCAUGCACGAAAGCGUGGGGAGCAAACAGG
rnacentral:rRNA from 1 species